GGCGUGGCGUGGCUUGCGUCAUCCCUCGGCGCCGCGGCCGGGAGCCGUAAGUCAUGGAGAUAUUAAUAGAGGAUCCUAUUACCACGUGUCUUUCUCCUUCAGUGUAUGAUAUGAUUUGUAAACUCGGGUUUGAAGCUAGAGAAAAUUGCGAUAUCAGUAGUAUUGUAACUCAAAAUGGUGAAGUAUGCUGGACGACAAUUACAGACUGUGUGGUUUAUACAGAAUCAGCCCAGGGUCUGGAUUACGGGGGAAGCGUGAGGCUGCUGGGCCCUGUGUGCCAGGCUGUCCACUUACAUUUGUCGUCUCUGACCAAGGGGCAGUUUGAAACGCGAUAUUCACCGGGGCUCCAGUGGACAGGUGUUCCAGAGUUAUUUCCUGAAAUGUUUGAUGCCUUGGGAAGUCUUCAAUCUCUUGCUAUUUCUCUUAGCUUAAUGAAGCUGACAUCAUGUCUGGAGCGAGCCCUGGCUGAUGUGUAUUUACUGAUUGGGAAGGAAUGCCCCUUUCUUUUAAGAGAUCUGAUUGCGUCUGAGGCGCUCGCUCAAGUCUUUGGGCAGUCUGUGAUGGACGUGCUCAAGGUCUUCGUGGGCUCUCCGUGCGGACUCAACCUUCGCAACGUCCUGUGGCACGGCUUCGCGGCACCCCAGGAGAUUCCUCCAAAAUACUGUUCAAUGAUGAUAUUGUUGACAGCAGGAUUGGGUCAACUACUAAAGGGUUACCUUCAACAAACUAAGUUCACAUUGGCACGUCGACCUUUCGUAACUCUUACAAGCUUAGAGGAUUUGAUCGUUUUCCCUGAUGUUACUUAUGAGGUACUUUCAGUAUUAGAAGAAGUGAUGAAGAAAUCCACUUUUAUACUAAAAAUCAUGUUGCCGUAUUGGGAAGUUGCAUUAAUCAACUUCAAGUCAAACAGGUUUGCUGACUGUGCCAUCUUGUUAUUGGUGCAACUAGAGACUGGACUUAGGAAAGUUUUCGCCACAGUUAACAAAUGUCCAAGGAGACUUCUGACUGCUGAGUCAACAGCUCUUUAUACUACCUUUGAUGAGAUAUUGGCAAAACACUUGAAUGAUGGUAAAAUCAAUCAACUUCCUCUUUUCCUUGGAGAGCCUGCAAUGGAAUUUCUCUGGGAUUUCCUGAACCAUCAGGAAGGUCCCCGUCUAAGAGAUCGUUUAAGCCAUGGGGAAAUCAGUUUACCUGAAUUUCCGAAAGAAGCAGCCAAUCAGUUGCUUGCAUUUUCCUUUGUACUUUUACUCAGAUUUAUUGAUGAAGAUCUAUUAUCAGUGUUUAAGCAGGAAAAAGCAGCAGUGAGAGCAUUGGUGAGUGUUGCAGAAGCCUACGGCGCUCGCUGCCAUCCAGUUUCUCAGCUUAAAAAGCAGGUGCUGAGCUGUGAGAGGAGCAUCGGAGUUUGGCCCCUGCUGCCUUUGCCUGAAGGAUCCGAAAGGGAGGCUCAGCGAUCAGAAGGUAAUUCUGAAAUAAAUGCCUGCCACUCUUUAAUCACAGAAAUCGUGGCUGAGCUGUGUCACCAUGUGCCCGAGACCCACCGCGUUCCUCACGACUCGGAGCACCUUCCUCCUGAGAAGUGGCCCCAGCUGCUCCGUGAGCUCUGCAGCAUCCCUGUCCGGACCCUCUUCUGCCCCAGAGCCGUCCUGGAGGUGCUGGCUGUGCUCCGGAAGAUCGGCGCCCACUGCCGCCGCGUGUGUGGCCAGGUGGCCGCCUGCGCGGAGCUGAGGCGCCGGCAGUGGGAGGACAGGAGCCUGCGCUCCCGGCAGCGGCGGAACUACCUGCGCCUGGUUCACAGUAUUAAGCUUCUGUCUCCUAUGCUUUACCUGAUUUUAUUGCUGAUUGCACUGGAAUUGGUCAACAUUCAUGUGGUUCUUGGGAAAAAUACUUCAGAAUAUCAGCAGUAUCUAAGGUCAGUGUCCUCACUUACAGAAGACGAAGCUGUGUUUCGGUAAUUCUGAAUCAUGUUCAUUCCUGUUGGUUAUUUUCUUGGUGAUUUUUUUCAACCCCACAGUCUGGUCCUGAACUGUUCUUCUCUGUGGACUUCAGUGCAAAUUUGUGAGCCUUUAAAACUGACACGUUUCAGAAAAUUUAAUGUGAUUUACAUGUGAAUGAUUUCGGAAUUCCUCCCUCUGGUGUAAGAAUAAUGUCCAGACGGUGUUAUCGGGAGGAAGCUGGAGAGGCUGCCACCGUCUCGGGCAGCUGUGCGGAUGGAUGCCUGGGGCCAGGCCGCGGCUCAAAACCGUGGACUGUCUCUGCCGCGGGGCCGCCCCGGGUACGGUAGGGUGGUGCCCUCCACCCGCUAGACGCCAGUAGCCCCCAGUUGUGACGACUAAAAACGGCUCAGAUAUUGCCACAGUCGUCUGGGGGCAAAAUCACCCUAAGUGAAAGCUACGCCUCUAGACAGAGGGUCUGUGGAUUUUCAUCGUAUUAUUCUUUUAACUUCUCCCUAAGUGUGAAAAUUUCAAAAAUUCAUAGUUGGAGAAAAUUUUAGGCUACUUGGGAAACUUUGAGGAGAACUUGGAAAAUGUGAGGAUGGCACUUCUUCCCAUCAGUCAGAGGUGAUGCCCCUGUGAACUUUGUGACGAAUUAUCUUUCAGGAAAAGCCUUUCAACAGCAAUAGCUGCUCCAGGUUCUUAAAGUCCAUCUUGCAGUACACAGAGAACCUGGCGGCUUACACCAGCCAAGACAAGAACAAGUGGGAUGAAGCUGUCAAUCUCACACAGGUGGCCUUGUUGAAAAUUUGGACUUUUAGUGAGAAGAAACAAAUGUUAAUACAUUUAGCCAAGAAAUCCACGAGUAAAGUAGUCUAAUAAGUCA